rnacentral:sRNA from 1 species
UAGGAUGAGGUCCAUCACCACGUUGAAGA